rnacentral:rRNA from 1 species
GAUGAACGCUGGCGGCGUGCCUAAUACAUGCAAGUCGAGCGACGCGGGGACGCGUGAGUAACAUGUCUAUAACCCCCUUUAUGACUGGGGUAACUUCCUGAAACCGGUGCUAAACCGGAAUCUUUGAGCUGGAUCCGCGCUGCAUUAGCUAGUGGGUAGGGUAACGGCUUACAAAGGCAACGAUGCAUAGCGGACCUGAGAGGGUGAUCGGCCACACUGGAACGGAGACACGGUCCAGACUCCUACGGGAGGCAGCAGUGGGGAAUCUUCCGCAAUGGGCGAAAGCCUGACGGAGCAACGCCGCGUGAGUGAUGAAGGCCUUCGGAUCGUAAAGCACUGUUAGUAGGGAAGCGGUACCUAAUCAGAAAGCCACGGCUAACUCCGUGCCAGCCGCCGCGGUAAUAC